rnacentral:misc_RNA from 1 species
UGUGCACUGUGUUGCCGCUGUUGUGAUUUGGAUUGGGGCUCACCCCGGGGAGGCUGACCGACACACACACGCACGUCAUCGAGUGCUAUAAUAUCGAAAAAAGAACGGCCCCAGCCAGGGGCUCUCCCUUCUGUGUGUGCGUGCGUCUGUGGUUUGCUGAAGAUCCACCCGCGUAUCCGACGUUACGCGCGGCACAUGCUCUCCCAGUACCUGCGCAAGCGUGUCUCCGUGGUGACGGUAGAUGGUCGUAAUCUCGUCGGCGUACUCCACGCAGCCGAUCAGCUGCUGAACAUCGUACUCACAUCCUGCGUCGAGCGCACUGGCGCGCCGUACGAUUUCGACGAUGGCGCGGCCGAAGAGGACAACGGUGGCGUUGUCGAUGAAGGUGUCUCCACGGCUGUCAGCAGCGGUGGCACUGCAAGCGGCGCUCUGCCGCCCCUGGAAGAGGUACAACUAGGCGUGAUGAUGCUGCGCGGUGCCGACGUCGUUUCCAUUGCUGCCAUCGACGUGUACGAGGAGGCUGGCACAAACGUGAAGGAUUGGCGAGGACGGGAUAUGCCGCCUGCUACUGCUGUAGCGAGGUCGUCGUGACGGUCGACUUAAUCGACAGCACUGGCGCUCUUUCUGGUGUGCGUGUGUGUGUGUGUGUGUGUAUGUGUGUGUGUCCGCGUGUGGGCGUGGCCGCGAGAAAAGCAUUUUAAGCGUAUUUGUAUGCGCGGUUGUGUUCACGAGCGAGGCACUGCAUUGUGUUCCGACGAGCGCCAUCCAAUCGGCGCGCAGGACGAACGCGUGAAGAAAAGCCUCAGGCCUGCAGCCUCUCAGCCCUCGCCCUCUGUUCUCCUUUGGCAUGUGUGACAGAAGAAGGAAAGGAGCUGGUGAUGCACGCUGUAGUGAGACGCUCCCGCUGAAGAGCAGGGUGGCGCACAUCCCCG